rnacentral:lncRNA from 1 species
CACACAGCAAGCGCUCAGGCAGUCAGAACGCUCUUCCCCUGAGCCGCAAGCAAACACGGGCUGUCGUGCCUGUGGGACAACAGACCCAGUUAAACUGGUUUCUUGGCCCAACUGAAAUCACACACGUCGUCAAGUCAGGAUGUCAGCCCCACCUGCGCACAAAGCAGCACGUGAUAAAGAGCAGACUGCUCUCUGGAACUUGGCUGCAGUCACAGAGGAGAGACAGCUACCAUUCGCCGCAGCUUCUGUGGUUGGCACAGAGAUGCGAAAAUCAAAAUGGUCUCCUUUCGAAAGCAAAAGGAGGAGAGCCUGUGAGAGAGCCUUCCCCCAACACCAGCAGAGUGACAGCGUGGUAAUCAGCCAAGGUCAGAGGCUGCCUCUUCAUGCCAGGAUUUCAACCUAAGAGGACGAGGACCGCCGCCUCUUGAAAAAUCAGGAUGUUUUUGGCAGAGAGGGAGUCGGUGAAAGGAAGGGGGAAAGCAUGGCCAAAGGAGAGGUGUGUGUGUGAGGGGAACCGAGGAGUAAAGAAGGAAAGGGAGAAGGGGUGUGUAAGGGCAGAAGGGGAGGGGGAGGUGACGGCAUCCCCAGCACCACCUCAUCCAGAAAACACAUUUGUGGGAAGCGUUGUCUAAUCGUGAUUCCCAGCCAGAAAUUCAAACAGCUGGAGUCCGCCUCAGUGUGAGGCUCGGCCUGAGCAGCAUCAGCUCUCUGCCAAGGAAAUCAGCCCGAGCACCGCCACCAACCGGCGGUGCAAAGGGUGGGCCGUGCGCGCGGAUCCAAAGCCGCAGUCCUGCACUCGGCCCGCGGGCCUGCCAAUCAGAGAGCUCCGCGGACGCCCAGCCUGGGCCUGCGCAUCCCCAUGGGGGGCCUCCCAACGCACCGGAUUCAGGGUGACCUGCGAUUUCCCGCUCACUGCUUCCAUCUUCCCUUCCCGGAGCUGCAGGCGCUGGGGAGGCCAAGGGGUUAUGGGAAGGUAACCGGGUGUCCACUUCAAGCCUGGAACCAUCCAGAGAAUCCAGUUGGUCUAGACUCUGGCUUGCAGACAUAUAUUUCAUAAUUGACUCAGCCAUUCAGGUGUUCAUUUACUCAACAAACCUUUUAGCAACUGCUGCUGCCCAGCGUCCUCCGUUUCCCCCUACACUCCCGACGAGGCUGCCCACAGCUCCCAAUCCUGCUCAGCUGCCAUAUUGCCCUUCACUGGGGUUGCUCACAUGGAGAGUCCCCUGCCGCUGCCAAUCUCCCCACCGAUCCCCCUCCCACACAUCGGCUCCCCGACAUCUGCAGCUGCCGCUUCUUUGUAUCAUCCUCAUGUCUUGAACAUACUGGCUGUUCAACGAUACCUGGUUGAGAACAUGUAGCCUUCAUUUUACAGACCAGAAAAGUAAAGCUGGGGAAGUAAGUGA